UUGGACUGCAAGCGUCGUCCCUCUCAAUUUCUCUGCGUCUCUUGCGGCCGCGCCUCCUCUGCUCCUCCCUCCCCUCCGGUGCCGCCGAGCUGGCCCGUGCCUCCUCCGCUCCUCCCUUCCUUCCAGUGGCGUUAAGCCGGCCCGCGCCUCCUACGCUCCUUCCUCCCCUGCGCCCCUCCGCCAUGAGCUCCGUUGCUCCUCCACCCCUGCGCCGCGAGCUCCGCUGCCCCGAGGUCUGCCUCCGAUGCGAGUUCCAUCACCCCUCCGCCCCUACGCCGCGAGCUCCGCCGCCCCUACGCUUCACCACUCCUCCGCCCCUGCGCCUUUCGCCGCCCUGAGCUCCGCCGUCGUGAGGCCCAUCUGCUUGGGGGCUCGACCUUCGCAUGAGGAGGGAAUCGUACGGCGGCGGCGGCAGCCUGGAGGCCCAGACCAGCGCGGCGACGGUGGCAGCCUGGAGGCCUGGACAGCGGGACCUUCUCCGGCGAGGCGAGGACAGUGGUGGUGAGCUCCUCCCUGUUCAGCGCGGGGGGUUUUCUCCGGAGAGAUGAUGAUGCGACCUUCUCUGACAUGGCCGGGGGUGGAGAGAAUGAGAAGGGAUCAAGCGACGUUGCGGUGCUUUGCCGGUACUAAGUAUCUGAGAGUUGUACGCCUGUUUCAAAAGAAAAGAAUUGGAUCUGUUCCAAGGAGCAGCAGAGGUAUCGGGAUUAUCGAGCGGCAACGGAAGAGCAGCACAGGCAUCGCGCGCCUAUGGGUAGAGUGGUUACGGAUCAUUAUCCUAAUAGUCUUUUUACGAUCCAAUUUGAUCCUUAUAUAUUUUUAGCUCAAAAUUAUAUAAGAUUAGAGCCUUACAAGCUCAGCCUUUAAAUUAUCUAGACUAAAUUUUAAGACGAUUUGCCACCCCCACCUACGGUCCUCGCCACCAAACUGAUUCAUUCGCUCCUACGAGCAAACCCAUUCGAUUCCAUGAUCUGUAUUGUUAUUUUCCCCUAUGCAGCUGUGCUAAACCGUUUCUCUUUCUCUCUUUUUUGAGAUUAUAAACCUUUGAUGCCUGGUGAGAUGAAUGCGACUGGAAUCCUUUUGAGUCAGGAAGCGAUUGCGGCUUACUGUUAGAUUAAUUAAAAUUUUGCAAGAA